ACGGUGAGUAACACGUAUCCAACCUGCCGUCUACUCUUGGACAGCCUUCUGAAGGAAGAUUAAUCCAGGAUGGCAUCAUGAGUUCACAUGUCCGCAUGAUUAAAGGUAUUUUCCGGUAGACGAUGGGGAUGCGUUCCAUUAGAUAGUAGGCGGGGUAACGGCCCACCUAGUCAACGAUGGAUAGGGGUUCUGAGAGGAAGGUCCCCCACAUUGGAACUGAGACACGGUCCAA
rnacentral:rRNA from 1 species